rnacentral:rRNA from 1 species
AUUGAACGCUGGCGGCAGGCCUAACACAUGCAAGUCGAGCGAGCGGCGGACGGGUGAGUAAUGUAUGGGGACUGCCCGAUAUAGGGGGAUAACUACUGGAAACGGUAGCUAAUACCGCAUACUAUCGGAUAACCCAUAUGGGAUGAGCUAGUAGGUGAGGUAAUGGGUCACGUAGGCAACGAUCCGUAGCUGGUUUGAGAGGACGACCAGCCACACUGGAACUGAGACACGGCACAGACUCCUACGGAGGCAGCAGUGGGGAAUUUUGGACAAUGGGGGAAACCCUGAUGCAGCCAUCCCGCGUGUAUGAUGAAGGCCUUCGGGUUGUAAAGUACUUUUGGCAGAGAAGCGGUAUCUGCAGAAGAAGCACCGGCUAACUACGUGCCAGCAGCCGCGGUAAUUC